rnacentral:lncRNA from 1 species
AACCAUAAACCCAAAACCCUAAAACCUAAACCCUUAAACUCCUAAACCUCUAAAUCCAUAUAACUCUAAAUCCUAAGCGCUAAACCAUAAACCCUAAACUUGAAAGCCAUAAGCCAUAAACUCUAAACCCUAAAGUCCAAAAUCCUAAACCAUAAACCCUAAUUCUUUUAAGCGAAACCCUGAAAUCCUAAACCACUAUAACACUAAACCUCAAGG